ACAAAAAUUUCGCUUGGAUCAUCUGUGUGAUGCUUUCACAGACCUCAUAUGUCUCUGCCCUCAAUCCGACAGACAGUCCUUUUAGGCUUUUGGAUCUGUCAAAUUCAACCUCUAUAGGUCCGUAAAAACAUGAUCCGGGCAGUGUAUGGUUAUAAACCCAUUCUCCUGGCUUUUUUUAUGGACUAGAAAACUCAGGCCUGGCUUUGACGCAGUUCAGGGCCUAUUCAGUUUGAUAACUCUCUCUCUCUCUCUNNNNNNNNNNNNNNNNNNNNUUUGUAGUAACUACUCUCUCUCUCUCUCUCUCUCUCUCUCUCUCUCUCUCAAUCUCAGUUUAGUUUCAGUUUUGAUAACAUCGGAUAUAAAUUAGGGGGGCUGAGCUCCACUGUUUGAUUAUUUUGGUCGAAGUUAAUGGGACUUUAUUUGUGUUCAGCUGGGCUUUUUUGGGUCAAUUCGAAUAGUCUUAGCCAAUUCCAUUUCUGGUGGGUUAUCAAUUAGCCAGCUACUUAUUUGACCUACUUCGCUUAGCUGGAGAUUCACGUCUACAGUAGAAUCUUCCUGAUCUGUGCCCGCCCUCCAACCAGUUCAUUGGAAAACCCCUCUGCCGAUCUUCCUUUGAUCCUCUGGUUCAAGUGGUCUGAGACUGGACCUAAGGGAGCUCUCUUAGCUGAUGACCCACCAAGUGCCAUCGUCCUUGCCUCUCCGUGGAAGCCACAUGAAGGAGGGGGAGAGGGGGGACCAUCCCCGGCCAAAGCUUGACGCCAUGCCGUGUCUUCAAACUGAAGCCGCCUGGUUCCGGAAGCGUUUUGGGUUUGAGAGUUAAAAGCGUGAAGAGGAGAUAUUAGAUUAUGCCCAAAGGGACAGAGUUGCGAGAAAUAGGGUUCCUGUCAAGUCAAUUAGAAGACGAGAGCAGCUGGCCGCCGGUGGCGGUGUUGCAGAGACGCUUGGGCCAUGGAGAUGAGAUGGCGAUCGUUUGAAUAAACUAAUGGGCUUCUCCUCCACCUCCUCCUCCUUCCUCUACGGGCCUCGCCUUGGAUCCGCGGAGGACGAAUUUCGACGGAAUGAAGACCGGAGAGGAGGAACAUCCCUAACUCCUCGCCGGAGCUCCGAGCCCUCCUGUGAAGCCCUAAACGGAGGGCAUUAAAUUACUCGGCGUCGAACGUCG
rnacentral:lncRNA from 1 species